AUUUUAUUUAUACCAAAUCUACUUAUAAAAGCAAUCGUGAUCCAUAAAUAAACAAAUACGAUUAAAACUGACCGUCAACAAAACAUAACGUGCUUGCGUUUGGGUUUUCAGCUCGCUAUUAAUCUUCAUCGAAAUGUCAACUGGAAAAGUAACAAUAUUGUGCGUGACACUUUUAUUCGGUUUGCUUUUGUUGAUCGAAGAAGGAGAUGCUAUCAAUUGCGUUUGCAUGAAUUGGAGAAAUUGUCACGGUGACAUCAACAACGACGUUCAUUGCCCGAUGGAUUAUAUUAAUGUUUGUUGUGUUACGCCAGAUCAAAAAGUGUGGUUUACUGAUAAUAAUGAGAUUGAGCGAAUCCCUCAAUAAUUUUUAAAUGAAAUGAAUUA